GCAGGCUUAUAAAAGUAUUGAAACUCUGGAUUGUUCACAAGAAUUUGGAGAACAACUGAUCCGGACCUGUGCCAUCUGCCUCUGUCACUGUCACCGCUGGGCACUGGGAGUCAGUGUGCAUGAGGCAGCCCUCUUCUGCGGCAAGAAAUCAACACACGUUGUGGCUGCUGCAGCUUUUCAGCCGAUGCAGUUGCGUUCUCUCAACAAAGAAACUUGCCACUCUGGAUUCACCCAAAACUCAUUAAAAAGGUUUGUUUACAAU